CUCUCCUACACACCGAGCCGUGGAGAAGAAUGUGUGAAGGAUUGGCGGGGAGAGUCUGGACUCUGCGCUCUGAUUGUGACACAGUAUCUCACCAGCCAAUCAGAGCGCAGGGGGCGGGACUGUCUGUAAAGCGGGUGGGGAAACAGCAGCAGAGCUCGAGGACGAUGUCGACCACCAGCAGGUACAAGAGCCGGAGCGCGAGGCCAGGUACAGGUGUGGCGGAUGCUGNAAUACUCUGUGAAGUAUUUAGAUACUCUGAUCUGAGGAGCUGUUUGUUAACUUGUGGUUUCUGAGGCUGGAAACUCUGAUGAUCUUAUCCUGUACAACAGAGGAAACUCUCGCUCUUCUAUCCAUUCCUGGGGUGGUCCUGAU
rnacentral:lncRNA from 1 species